AUUGAACGCUGGCGGCAGGCUUAACACAUGCAAGUCGAGCGGGGUGAUGGUGCUUGCACUAUCACUUAGCGGCGGACGGGUGAGUAAUGCUUAGGAAUCUGCCUAUUAGUGGGGGACAACAUCUCGAAAGGGAUGCCAAUACCGCAUACGUCCUACGGGAGAAAGCAGGGGAUCACGUGUGUCCUUGCGUGAAUAGAUGAGCCUAAGUAGGAUUAGCUAGUUGGUGGGGUAAAGGCCUACCAAGGCGACGAUCUGUAGCGGGUCUGAGAGGAUGAUCCGCCACACUGGGACUGAGACACGGCCCAGACUCCUACGGGAGGCAGCAGUGGGGAAUAUUGGACAAUGGGGGGAACCCUGAUCCAGACAUGCCGCGUGUGUGAAGAAGGCCUUAUGGUUGUAAAGCACUUUAAGCGAGGAGGAGGCUCUUUUGGUUAAUACCCAAGAUGAGUGGACGUUACUCGCAGAAUAAGCACCGGCUAACUCUGUGCCAGCCGCCGCGGUAA
rnacentral:rRNA from 1 species